rnacentral:lncRNA from 1 species
CGGGAUCUCGUCAGGCCCGGUCGCUCGACCCCUACUCAUCCUACGCAAAUCCCCUAUGACCUACUCCGCCCUAAUGCGCCUGCAGUACCCAAGGUCUCUAUGUUGCUCGAAUGCCCCAACUCCCCUAACUCUAUGUUACGAUCUCCCUCCUUGUUAAGUAAGUCUCGAAAGUACGCCUGCCACCUCUGCUUGACUUGAGACUCCCCC